UCACAGACUAUGAUGAUGGCAUUUUGAUAAGAUUUCCAUCUUUAAGAACUUGAACCAGCAUUCUCUUAUUAAUUCUUUAAGCUGUGGAAAUAAUCUCCCAGUUCUUAACACUCUGAUAUGCAUCCUCUUUAUUAAAAAAUAAUGCUAAUAAAAGGCAGUGUGCUUAAACUGUGCUUUGCAAAUAUUAUGUAUGUUAUGAAUGACUACAGUCACCGGGCAAAUUAUUUGUAAGAUGAUUAUCCUUUGAGCUAGUAAAAAAAUCAUCACAACCAUUUUGGGCAGAAUGUUUCUUUUUAAUGUUAAUCAAGGGGAAGUGAUUUAAAUAUGCAUGCAUAUAGCAGAGUCAGGAAAAUUUCAUUGUUUUUCCCUAUAAGAAAAAAGACUGUCAAAAGGUGUAACUUGUUUUUCUCUUCUCUGGGAGUUGAAACCAUCAUCAUUUGAUAUUGGUACAGUACAAGAAAUGAAGAUUUGUUUUUUCACUUCAGAAUUUAAGUGACUUUUGCCCAAGGAAUCUGAGAAAUAAAGCAAAUAAGUUGCUCUAUCUUAAAGUAGUCAUUCAAUAUAAAUAUAUCAAUCUUAACUUUUUUAUUCUCUGAUAUGAUUAAUAAUGUGUAUAUUCUUACUUUUUGUUCUAAUGUGCGUAUGUAUCCUUGUGGACACUCUGGAGAGAGGUUUUCUUGGGCUCUCCCAUUUAUAGAAUCUUUAUACUCUUUUACUGCGUGGUCCCCUGAUUUUAACAGAUUUCUGAGGCAAUUAUAUUUGUGCUUUUUUCUUAUGUAGGAAGACCAGUGAAAAUAGUUUACUGAGUUGUCAAUUUUAUCAGUAGAUAAGCAACUUUCUUUAUUACAGUUUCAGGGAAGAUUUUUUCAGGAUAUUUCUCAGUAAUUCUAAGGGCCAAGUUUUAUAAAAUUUCCAUUAGGAAUACAAGUUUCAAAUACCCUUUGUAUAGCCUGGGCCUAUGAGGAUAACAAGACUUGAGCCUUAUGUAUCUUAACACAGGAAUUUACAAGUUCCCAAAGUAACCGUCUCCAUGUUAAGACUAUUGCACAUCCUUUUCUGAGAUUUGGUUGAUUUUAAGUAAUGGUUCUUACACACCGUUCAUUCUAUUUGACUUAUUCCACCACAUUCCCUUUUAUUUCAUGACCUGGCAAAUUCUGCUAUUUGAUGGUAACUCAGUUCCCGGCCCCUUUCUGUGGAGCCCACGUUUUUCAAUCACAAUAAAAAUUAAACCAAGUUGAUGACACUGAGCUCUUUUCCAUUUUGCUUAUUGCUGGCUUUUUCCUUGAAUCCUAACAUUAUUCUCAUUUUUAAAAUUGUAGUUAUUUUUUUUUUUACCACUACCUGUAUCAAUCAGCUGCCUAAUUAGUUUUAUCUAUUCCACGUGGAUGCAGUGAGUUUAUAAGAGAAUUUCACAAACAAGUAGUUUUUUAGUGAACUUAAAAUAAACAGAAUUUUAAAGGAGACCUAUUUUUAUACUCAAUAAAAGCACAAAAGUGCAGAAAGUAUAAAAUGGCUUACAAAGGGAAACAUAAGUUCAUAAUGUUCCAUGUAUAAAAGUAAUAAUUUUAUUGGGUAGAGAUAUUCUUAAAAGAACAAAUACCUCUGCCAGUGCACAGAUAGGACUGUUUUAAAUGUCUUAAGAACUUCUGAUUGCCUGCAGUUGCAAACAGAUGACUUCUCUAUAAGGAAAACAAACCACUAAAAGCAAUAUGAUCAAGUUGGUAUGUGGUUUUUAAUGAGAAAGAUGAAAUUAAACAACCUGGAAGUGCAAACGUGGAGGCUCCAGUCUUAUUGUUUGAUCAAACUUCUUUUAUGUAAUCACUUAGACUUGGAUUUUUCUCUGCUGUGAAAAUGACAAAAUAAAGCAAUAGCUCAAAGAAAUUUGACAACUUGAAAAAUAGAAUUUGUUCCUGGGUCCUAGAAGAUGAUUAAAAAGAAAAAAAUAUGAUGCUUACCUUAUUUUAUCAGCCGAAUGACAUUCCCCCUUCCAAAAAAAAAAAAAAAACUGGAAAUAGUAAUAGAUCAUAUAAAGAAUUUUGAUCAAAUAGAUAUUGACAAAGGGCCCUCUAUCACAUUUUUUUUUUUUCCAUCUGGCUUAUGUUCAGUAAACAGUAUGCCUCAUCCCUUGUAUCACACUGGGAGAAACGUUCUAUGCCAUUACCAUUACUUUCCCAUUUUGUCUACUUUUACUCCUGUACAUAUGUUGUGAGUUUAAGAGUCUUUUGCAUUUGUUCUGUGACACCUUUUUUCUGAAUGGACUGUUUUAAAACGGAGGCCUGUUUUCCGGUAUGGGACUCCUAGUGGUUAUGGCAUUCCAUGAUGCUUUGUGAUGGCCACCAGGACAGAAACAUCUGAUGUUUUAGAGCAGUUUUUCAGCAUGACACUGUUAAAAAAAAGUCUGUAUUUUCCAAGGCCACAUGAAAUUUACUUUCAUAGCCACUCCAGGGUUGGGAGCGGAAAAGCUGAAAAACACUUUUGUUUAGGAGUCUGAGUGGUUUGUGGGGGUGGGGGGGAAGCUUUUCUAGGGUUUGCAUGCCAGUGCACGGCCGAUUGCUGUGAAACAGAGAGAGGGUGAAGCUACCUGUGUGGCCCGGCACUGGAGAAUGCAGUGUUUGAUAGCGCUAGGGGGGAAAAAGAAAAUGCAUGGCAAAGUUUUGUCUUCUCGUAGACUAUUAUAGCAUGCAGAGUUUAGUGUGUUAAAACAGUGUAUGACAUUGCUGUAUCAAAGUUGUAAAAUUAAGCAUUAUUUAUUGAAAACUAUGUAUUUUUUUGUAAAAACCUGAUCACAUAGAGAAUAUCAGUGGCUUGUGCUAGUGCUCCAAUCUAACCAGCUUCUUGACUACCGUCCUUGGUAUGCAGUGUUAAACGCUCAGGGUUGAACAUAGUACACUCCGAUGUCUCUUUGGCAAGAGUUUUUCACAGAGGAAGACAUUUGUUCAAAAGACUCUAAUAAAAUUCUGUGAUCAAUCUGCACCUGUGGUUCUUAUGUGAAUUUUUUUUUCCAGUUUUGCCUUGGAUAUAACUACUGUUUAAUUCCUAAAGUGUUCUCUCAAAACUGAUAUUAUGGACAGGCUUGAAAAGUACUGGGUUCCUCAGCGUCCACCGUAACUGGAGGAUUCCAGCUAUGUUGGGGAGGAAUAGACUACACCAGCAGUGAACACUGGGCAUGUUUGAGAGAUGCUGAAAAAGUGAGAUAAGCAUGAAUGUAGACAGGAAAGCUCGAGCACCAACUGUGAUCUUGUGAUUCAGAAGGAGAGGAAAAAUGAAUUGAAGAGUCCUUGGUCAACCCUGACAUCCUAGAGCUGCUGAAUCAUUGCCGACUGCUGUCCUUUUGUUUGGGCAUAAUUUGUGACUGAACCAGGUCUUGUUUGAGGUUCCUUUCAGCUCUAACAAAUGAUUCCAGCAGCUACUAUUUAUUCACACUCAGAGUGCCAGUUGGUAGACAUUGGUAUAAACUCAUGCUUUCAGGGUCCGGCAGGUAAUGCAAUUGAAGGAAAAGGGCAAGGCUGCAUGAAGAUUUUGCCUAUGGAAACUGUUGGCAAGCCCCAACUAAAAAGACAUUUGCAUGCAAAACAUUCUCAAACACUCAGUGCCCCAAACUGAAUGGCUAUGGGGAGGGGGAAGGGAAGGACUCAUUUCCUCUUGUUUGGGAGAUGCUUUGUGGUUUUCCAAUGCCCUGGUUACUUUGUUCCAAGAGAAGACUAUUGUGUUGAACUUCACAAUGGGGGAGAGCAGGAGCAAUUAUUUUUUAGGUCAGGAAAUCUCAAACUCAAGUUUGAUGUAGUUCUUUUAAAAAUGAUGUUCUUGAAUAUAUAUAUAUACACACACACAGCUGUUUCAGUUGACAGACUUCUUUAAUUGGAAAAGCAUAAAAAUAUUAAAGCAUUAAUAUGGAUAAUACAAUGUUUCAGAAAUCAUGAAUCUGGAGGUCUUCUGCAAAUGCAUGUUUUCCCCUAAACUAAUGAUUUCCAAACAUACCAAACAAACAUCAGAAUCACAUGAUCAAAAAUACAGAGUUCUGGGCUCAAUUCCUGUAAUACUGAUUCUUUGUGUUUGGAGUGAGGCCCAGGAUCUGUAUUUUUUUUUUUAACAAAUGUAUCCAGCUGAUUCUAAGACCUUGGGGCCAGCUUCUGAGAUCCAUAGUCUUAAAUCAGUGAAAGAAUAAAUUUGAAGAAAAAUCAGUUUAUUUACCAAGUAGUAAGGUUUCUGUUAACUAAACAAACUUCUUGUUUUGCCACCUCUAUACCUUUAGUCACACUUCAUUCAAGAGAUGUUUGUUGGGUGCCACUUGGUGCCAGGUACACAGAGAUGAAAGAAUCCCUUUGGGGGUUCAUCGUGAGACUGAGGAGCACCAGAAGCAAAUCUGUAACUGGCUCUCUGCAAGCCAGGUGCUAUGACUGAGGUGAGGGCAGGGCCACAGUCAGUCCAGAAUGGGGGAGUCUCCAGAGGCUUCCUGGAGGAGGUGAUGUCUUGGUCCUAAAGGUUAUCUCAAAGAAGGACAGAGCUCGGAGUUUCUAGGCAGCACGUCUGCAAGGAGUUGUGAAACAGUGAUUGUGCUCCAGAAACUGCAAGUUGGUUUCCCUCCCUGGAGCCCACAAGGCGAGGAAAGUAGCAUGGUGCAUGGUGGGUUGUGACUAAAUGUGUGCUGGUUGCACUCUUAGUUCUGUUGUGGCACAGGACAAUUGUGCUUUGCGUCGGGUCACUGUAUUUUAAACCUCUGUCUGCCUCCCACUGUCUUGUGUUUUUCUUUCCUGACCCCACCAUCAGACCUCAGGCCCAAAUUUCAUGGAUGCAGGCUGAAAGUUAGUGUGAGUCAAAUCAUGUUAAAACCACAACUUGAUUUUCCCAUUGCUUGCUCAAUGAGUGACAUUGCUGUGACAAAAAAAUAGAAGUUGAGAAAGAAAUAAAAUAGAAAACUCAGUAGGUCUUAUGACUGAUGAAAAAUUAUGAAUACUUACAUAGUUCUGAUGCUGACAACCUUUUAGUUCAUUGUCUCAUCUGAAAACUGGGGCAAUAGCACUGAC